rnacentral:rRNA from 1 species
CACGUAGGGCGCAAGCGUUGUCCGGAAUUAUUGGGCGUAAAGAGCUCGUAGGCGGUCUGUUGCGUCCGCUGUGAAAGCCCGGGGCUUAACCCCUGGCUUGCAGUGGAUACGGACAGACUAGAGGUAGGUAGGGGAGAAUGGAAUUCCCGGUGUAGCGGUGAAAUGCGCAGAUAUCGGGAGGAACACCGGUGGCGAAGGCGGUUCUCUGGGCCUUACCUGACGCUGAGGAGCGAAAGCGUGGGGAGCGAACAGG